UGUCUAUUUCCCAGUGGCUGGCAUAGUGUUCUUCACACAACAGGUGCUCAACGAAAAUUUUUGAAUGAAUGAAUGAAUGCUAUGCAUAAUGCAUUAUGUCAGUCACUGGAGAGGAUGAAAAACUCUCAAAACUCAAUCCCUGACCUCAUAGAGCUUACUGUCUAGUGGAGAAAUGAAGAGAACAGCUCACACACAUAUGUAUGUUGCCUUGCUACUUCAGCUAGGCUGGCUUGCCUACCCCGAGUUGGAGUUGGUUCUGGUCCAGAUUCUGCUGUGUACAAGGCCAUCUAGGCCUCAGUCCUCUAUGAAAAGGAGACUUGGACUGGAUGGUCUCUUCCUGCUCAGGCAUUCUGUAUUCUCUAUUCUAAGGUCCCUUCUAACUCUGAUUCAAUUCAAUUGAAUUCUACAAUCAUUUAAAAAAAAUAUGUGAUAUGCUCUUGACACUACUUUGCCAUUGAGGAUACAAUGCCAAAAAACAAACAAACCCAUCCUUUCCCUGGAGCUUAUAUUAUGUGGCUCUUUGCCUUAUGUUCUUCUAGAAUGGAUGUUUAUGUUCUAAAGUCCUUUUUUGUGCUCACAUUCUGUGCUCUAUGUUCUAAGGUCCCUUUUUGUGCCACCAUUCUAUGCUCCAUGUUCUAAGGUCCCUUUUUGUGCCAACAUUCUAUGCUCCAUAUUCUAAAGUCCCUUUAAGGUCCCUUCAAGCUCAGAUUUUCUUGAGUCUAAGGUUCUGGACAUUCUGACUUCUGGGUACUAAGGACCUUCCUAGCUCAGACAUUCUGUGCUCUUUAUUCUCGGGCCCGUCCCAGUUCUAAAGUUCUGAGAUUCUGAGAAUCUACUUUCUGUUUCCUACAAACUGAAUGUGUCUUCUCUGAGGCAUUUCCUCCACUGAAUGUUAUAUUCCACUUUCUUUUGCACAGAUGUCUUAUUGAUAUUACUGUCAGAAAAAGUUUAUUGUUUCACUUCUAUGUUCAUUUAACAGUAAAGUUAAUAAAGAAGUCCUAUGUCAUUG
rnacentral:lncRNA from 1 species